GUGUCAGCCGCCGCGGUAAUACGGGGGUGGCAAGCGUUGUUCGGAAUUACUGGGCGUAAAGGGCGCGUAGGCGGGGAGGUAAGUCGGGUGUGAAAUCCCUCGGCUCAACCGAGGAACUGCGCCCGAGACUGCCUUUCUUGAGUCCCGGAGAGGAAGGUGGAAUUCCCGGUGUAGCGGUGAAAUGUGUAGAGAUCGGGAGGAACACCGGUGGCGAAGGCGGCCUUCUGGACGGUGACUGACGCUGAGGCGCGAAAGCGUGGGGAGCAAACGGGAUUAGAAACCCCUGUAGUCC
rnacentral:rRNA from 1 species